GAAUUAAUAUAAAUAUCGCUAAUUUGUUGAGAAUUCACUAUUGACUUAUUUCCUCUACCUAUCGACUUGUCUGUGCAGCUCUUCAUUCUCAACGAGCCAACUCCGUUUCAACUCAGAAAAUGGCUUCAGCAGCUCCCCAAAGAGGAAGUGCAGCAGCUACGGCCAGCAUGAGGAGAAGGAAGACACCCGGUGGUGGUGCUUCUGGAGGAGCUGCUGGGACUAUGCUUCAAUUUUACACUGAUGAUGCCCCUGGACUCAAGAUCUCCCCAAAUGUGGUUCUUGUUAUGAGCAUUGGGUUUAUAGCAUUUGUUGCUAUCCUUCACGUGGUUGGCAAGUUGUAUUUGCGUAAGGAGGCUUAGAGAAAUACAAUUUGAAGUUAGGUUCGUUUUGGAAAUUUUAAUAUAUGCACAAUGUUAUGAAUUUAGAUUAUCCUUUGCUAUCCGACCAUCCUUUUGGUAAUAUAUAUUUCUUUAUGGUACA